AUUGAACGCUGGCGGCAGGCCUAACACAUGCAAGUCGAGCGGCAGCGACUUAACUGAACCUUCGGGGAACGUUAAGGGCGGCGAGCGGCGGACGGGUGAGUAAUGCCUGGGAAUAUGCCCUGAUGUGGGGGAUAACUAUUGGAAACGAUAGCUAAUACCGCAUAAUCUCUUCGGAGCAAAGAGGGGGACCUUCGGGCCUCUCGCGUCAGGAUUAGCCCAGGUGGGAUUAGCUUGUUGGUGAGGUAAUGGCUCACCAAGGCAACGAUCCCUAGCUGGUCUGAGAGGAUGAUCAGCCACACUGGAACUGAGACACGGUCCAGACUCCUACGGGAGGCAGCAGUGGGGAAUAUUGCACAAUGGGGGAAACCCUGAUGCAGCCAUGCCGCGUGUGUGAAGAAGGCCUUCGGGUUGUAAAGCACUUUCAGUAGGGAGGAAGGUAGUGUAGUUAACACCUGCAUUAUUUGACGUUACCUACAGAAGAAGCACCGGCUAACUCCGUGCCAGCAGCCGCGGUAAUACGGAGGGUGCGAGCGUUAAUCGGAAUUACUGGGCGUAAAGCGCAUGCAGGCGGCCUGUUAAGUCAGAUGUGAAAGCCCGGGGCUUAACCUCGGAAUUGCAUUUGAAACUGGCAGACUAGAGUCUUGUAGAGGGGGGUAGAAUUUCAGGUGUAGCGGUGAAAUGCGUAGAGAUCUGAAGGAAUACCAGUGGCGAAGGCGGCCCCCUGGACAAAGACUGACGCUCAGAUGCGAAAGCGUGGGGAGCAAACAGG
rnacentral:rRNA from 1 species